UGGGGGAUAUUGCACAAUGGGCGCAAGCCUGAUGCAGCGACGCCGCGUGGGGGAUGGAGGCUUUCGGGUUGUAAACCCCUUUCGGCGCGGGACAAGGCUCCGUUUGGCGGGGUUGAGGGUACGCGUCAAAGAAGCGCCGGCUAACUACGUGCCAGCAGCCGCGGUAAUACGUAGGGCGCGAGCGUUGUCCGGAAUUAUUGGGCGUAAAGGGCUCGUAGGCGGCUUGUCGCGUCUGCUGUGAAAACGCGGGGCUCAACUCCGCGCGUGCAGUGGGUACGGGCAGGCUGGAGUGCGGCAGGGGUGGCUGGAAUUCCUGGUGUAGCGGUGGAAUGCGCAGAUAUCAGGAAGAACACCGAUGGCGAGGGCAGGCCACUGGGCCGUCACUGACGCUGAGGAGCGAAAGCGUGGGGAGCGAACAGGAUUCGAUACCCUGGUAGUCCACGCUGUAAACGUUGGGAACUAGGUGUGGGGUCUGUUCCACGGAUUCUGCGCCGGAGCUAACGCGUUAAGUUCCCCGCCUGGGGAGUACGGCCGCAAGGCUA
rnacentral:rRNA from 1 species